rnacentral:lncRNA from 1 species
AUAUUGUAUUUUCAUCUAUAUCACCCAACGGCUUUAGAGAAUAUGCACCAUGAUAACAUUUGUGCUGUAAUAAUUGGUAGUAAACUUGAAAUUAGAAGUAAAAAAUGCUUAUUUUUUAUGGUAAUCUUAUUAAACCUUGAUAGUUGUAUGCUCAUCACAAAGAUCUAUCAUUUUUUUAAACAAAUAAAAUAUGAGCUUUCAGUGGAGAUUUUGAAUGGAAAAUAAAGUUUUUGGACAAAUUCUCAUUAAUAUAUUUCUUUAAUGCAUCCAAUUUGUUCUAUAAUAAGCUGUAGAUUGGUCCAAAUGAUGAUUGAACUCCUUCUUA